rnacentral:rRNA from 1 species
CUGCGAAACUGCGAAUGGCUCAUUAAAUCAGUUAUCGUCUAUUUGAUAGUACCUUACUACUUGGAUAACCGUGGUAAUUCUAGAGCUAAUACAUGCUGAAAACCCCGACUUCGGAAGGGAUGUAUUUAUUAGAUUAAAAACCAAUGCCCUUCGGGGCUCCCUGGUGAUUCAUGAUAACUUCUCGAAUCGCACGGCCUUGCGCCGGCGAUGGUUCAUUCAAAUUUCUGCCCUAUCAACUUUCGACGGCUGGGUCUUGGCCAGCCAUGGUGACAACGGGUAACGGAGGGUUAGGGCUCGACCCCGGAGAAGGAGCCUGAGAAACGGCUACUACAUCCAAGGAAGGCAGCAGGCGCGCAAAUUACCCAAUCCCGACACGGGGAGGUAGUGACAAUAAAUACUGAUACAGGGCUCUUUUGGGUCUUGUAAUUGGAAUGAGUACAAUUUAAUUCCCUUAACGAGGAACAAUUGGAGGGCAAGUCUGGUGCCAGCAGCCGCGGUAAUUCCAGCUCCAAUAGCGUAUAUUAAAGUUGUUGCAGUUAAAAAGCUCGUAGUUGAACCUUGGGCCUGGCUGGCCGGUCCGCCUCACCGCGUGCACUGGUCCGGCCGGGCCUUUCCCUCUGGGGAGCCGCAUGCCCUUCACUGGGCGUGUCGGGGAACCAGGACGUUUACUUUGAAAAAAUUAGAGUGUUCAAAGCAGGCUUAUGCUCGGAUACAUUAGCAUGGAAUAAUAGAAUAGGACGUGCGGUUCUAUUUUGUUGGUUUCUAGGACCGCCGUAAUGAUUAAUAGGGACAGUCGGGGGCAUCAGUAUUCAGUUGUCAGAGGUGAAAUUCUUGGAUUUACUGAAGACUAACUACUGCGAAAGCAUUUGCCAAGGAUGUUUUCAUUAAUCAGGAACGAAAGUUAGGGGAUCGAAGACGAUCAGAUACCGUCGUAGUCUUAACCAUAAACUAUGCCGACUAGGGAUCGGACGGUGUUAUUUUUUGACCCGUUCGGCACCUUACACGAAAGUAC